rnacentral:rRNA from 1 species
AGAGUUUGAUCAUGGCUCAGGAUGAACGCUGGCGGCGUGCCUAACACAUGCAAGUCGAACGGGAGUUGUUUUCGGACAACAAGAGUGGCGCACGGGUGAGUAACACGUAGCUAACCUGCCCCGAAGCUCGGGAUAACGUUCCGAAAGGAAUGCUAAUACCGGAUAAGCUCAUGGACUGUAGAGGCCUGUGAGAAAAGGAGCAAUCCACUUUGGGAUGGGGCUGCGACCCAUCAGCUAGUUGGUGAGGUAACGGCUUACCAAGGCGACGACGGGUAGGGGACCUGAGAGGGUGACCCCCCACACUGGGACUGAGACACGGCCCAGACUCCUACGGGAGGCAGCAGUGAGGAAUAUUGCACAAUGGGCGCAAGCCUGAUGCAGCGACGCCGCGUGGGUGAAGAAGGUUUUCGGAUCGUAAAGCCCUUUUCUGUGUGACGAGACAAGGACGGUAGCACAGGAAUAAGUGUCGGCUAACUACGUGCCAGCAGCCGCGGUAAAACGUAGGACACAAGCG